rnacentral:rRNA from 1 species
ACGCUGGCGGCACGCCUAACACAUGCAAGUCGAACGAAGUAGCAAUACUUAGUGGCAGACGGGUGAGUAACAUGUAGGUAUCUGCCCUUUGGCCUGGAAUAACACGAGGAAACUUGUGCUAAUACCGGAUAAGUCUUUACGGAGAAAGCUUUAUGCACCAAUGGAUGAGCCUGCACUUGAUUAGUUUGUUGGUGGGGUAAUGGCCUACCAAGACUGUGAUCAAUAGCUGAUUUGAGAGGAUGAUCAGCCACAUUGGGACUGAGACACGGCCCAAACUCCUACGGGAGGCAGCAGUGGGGAAUCUUGCACAAUGGAGGAAACUCUGAUGCAGCGAUGCCGCGUGAGUGAAGAAGGCCUUUGGGUUGUAAAGCUCUUUCGUCGGGGAAGAAAAUGACUGUACCCGAAUAAGAAGGUCCGGCUAACUUCGUGCCAGCAGCCGCGGUAAUACGAAGGGACCUAGCGUAGUUCGGAAUUACUGGGCUUAAAGAGUUCGUAGGUGGUUGAAAAAGUUGGUGGUGAAAUCCCAGAGCUUAACUCUGGAACUGCCAUCAAAACUUUUCAGCUAGAGUAUGAUAGAGGAAAGCAGAAUUUCUAGUGUAGAGGUGAAAUUCGUAGAUAUUAGAAAGAAUACCAAUUGCGAAGGCAGCUUUCUGGAUCAUUACUGACACUGAGGAACGAAAGCAUGGGUAGCGAAGAGGAUUAGAUACCCUCGUAGUCCAUGCCGUAAACGAUGUGUGUUAGACGUUGGAAAUUUAUUUUCAGUGUCGCAGCGAAAGCGAUAAACACACCGCCUGGGGAGUACGACCGC